UACGGAGGGUGCAAGCGUUAUCCGGAUUUACUGGGUUUAAAGGGUGCGCAGGCGGAUAUGUAAGUCAGUGGUGAAAUCUUCCCGCUUAACGGGAAAACUGCCAUUGAUACUAUAUAUCUUGAAUGCUGUGGAGGUAAGCAGAAUAUGUCAUGUAGCGGUGAAAUGCUUAGAGAUGACAUAGAAUACCAAUUGCGUAGGCAGCUUACUACACGAUCAUUGACGCUGAGGCACGAAAGCGUGGGGAGCAAACAGG
rnacentral:rRNA from 1 species